AGCAGCCGCGGUAAUUCCAGCUCCAAUAGCGUAUAUUAAAGUUGUUGCAGUUAAAAAGCUCGUAGUUGAAUUUCGGGGUCAGUAGAUUGGUCAUGCCUCCGGUAUGCACUGGUCUUACUGGCUCCUCCUUCCUGAUGAACCGUAAUGCCAUUAAUUUGGUGUUGCGGGGAGACUGGACUGUUACUUUGAAGAAAUUAGAGUGUUUAAAGCAGGCUAACGCUUGAAUACAUUAGCAUGGAAUAAUGAAAUAGGACGUUCGAUCCUAUUUUGUUGGUUUCUAGGAUUGACGUAAUGAUUAAUAGGGAUAGUUGGGGGCAUUAGUAUUCAAUUGUCAGAGGUGAAAUUCUUGGAUUUAUUGAAGACUAACUACUGCGAAAGCAUUUGCCAAGGAUGUUUCAUUAAUCAAGAACGAAAGUUAGGGGAUCGAAGACGAUCAGAUACCGUCGUAGUCUUAACCAUAAACUAUGCCGACUAGGGAUCGGAUGAUGUUAAUUUUUAAUGACUCAUUCGGCG
rnacentral:rRNA from 1 species